rnacentral:rRNA from 1 species
CCUACGAGUGGCAGCAGUGAGGAAUAUUGGUCAAUGGACGCAAGCCUGAACCAGCCAUGCCGCGUGCAGGAAGAAGGUCCUAUGAGUUGUAAACUGCUUUUGUACGAGGGUAAAUCCCGAUACGUGUACCGGGUUGAAUGUACCGUACGAAAAAGCAUCGGCUAACUCCGUGCCAGCAGCCGCGGUAAUACGGAGGAUGCGAGCGUUAUCCGGAUUUAUUGGGGUUAAAGGGUGCGCAGGCGGAAUGUUAAGUCAGCGGGAAAAUUCCGGGGCUAAACCCCGUCGUGCCGUUGAAACUGGCGUGCUUGAGUGGGCGAGAGGUAAGCGGAAUGCGAGGUGUAGCGGUGAAAUGCAUAGAUAUCACGCAGAACACCGAUUGCGAAGGCAGCAUACCGGCGCUCAACUGACGCUGAGGCACGAAAGCGUGGGUAUCGAACAGGAUUAGAUACCCUAGUAGUC